rfam:TPA: Bos taurus chromosome 22, whole genome shotgun sequence.
GGGAGAGUACCUGAGAAAGGAGCCCCUCCUUUCUCAGCAGCCUAUGAGAUGACUUCUUGAAGCUCAAAGCUGUGGG